rnacentral:rRNA from 1 species
CGUAGGUGGCAAGCGUUGUCCGGAAUUAUUGGGCGUAAAGCGCGCGCAGGCGGUCCUUUAAGUCUGAUGUGAGAGCCCACGGCUCAACCGUGGAGGGUCAUUGGAAACUGGGGGACUUGAGUACAGAAGAGAAGAGUGGAAUUCCACGUGUAGCGGUGAAAUGCGUAGAGAUGUGGAGGAACACCAGUGGCGAAGGCGACUCUUUGGUCUGUAACUGACGCUGAGGCGCGAAAGCGUGGGGAGCAAACAGGAUUAGAUACCCUGGUAGUCCACGCUGUAAACGAUGAGUGCUAAGUGUUAGAGGGUUUCCGCCCUUUAGUGCUGCAGCUAACGCAUUAAGCACUCCGCCUGGGGGAGUACGGCCGCAAGGCUG